ensembl:lncRNA
AGGUGGUAAGAAGAAUAAGAAAUGUGUCAAAAGUGAGAGGAAUCAUGCCUUCACAUCGAGCUUAGUUACCAGGGGGCUUAAAAGGGUUAAAACCAUUAGGGCACAGGGCUAAAAACACAUGAUUUGUGAUUGGAGAUUGGAGAGCGUAUGGGGAAAAAUAUUUUAUUUUUGAGGAACAUGAAAGGAUGGCCUCUACAUGUCUUCGGUUUAUGUGUCUUUGAUGACACCUGUUUUGUUCGGAAUGUCACAAGUCACACAGGUCUGUGAACUCCCCCAAAAAGGUCUCCCACCACUACGAGGCAAGGAGUCUGUCCCUCCGGGACAAUCUACUGCAACAUGACUCCUCAUGUAACUCUUCACGUGGACCGGUGCAAGGGGAAGGAGAGGAGAAACAUGAGACUUGGGAUGAGAAGAACCUUCAACAAAGACCAAUGUGGGGAGACGAGGGGAGGGGUAGCUGCUGAUGUUUCCAGCAGGAUGGAUUCAUGUAGGAGGGUUUUGAAUUGGAACCGAAGGAGGUCCAUCACAGGAAUCAGCAUGCUAAUGUACAUUGCAAGGACUUUUUUUUUCUCCUCCAUUUUUGUUUUGUUUUUUGCUUUGAGCGAGCUCUGAGGGAGCAACCAUGUUGAUCCUAAAUGUAAUUGUUUGCCAAAUUUAACGUCUCUUAAAACCACAGGGGUGUAUUCGAUCCCGGACCAUGUCGGCGUUUUCCCCCAGUGAAGUGCCUUGAAAAAGAAGUGAAAUUCUCUCAUUCUGGCCUCCUACUCAAAGACGUUGCUGUCUUGUUCAAAGGGUUAGAAGCUCUUGUGCUGUUGGGGCCUUGAACACAUUGGACACAUUUUGUCACAACUUCUUUGAAUAAAAGAUAGAAAAUAAAACAAGUAAAGAAUAUAAAUCUACUUUAAUGCUGUUGAAAUGAAUGGCUUGAGCAAGCGAGCAAGGCCUGUCUCCUGAAUGCCACAGAACAAGAUGGCUGACUUCUACUUUGUCACUGAGGAGGAAAGUUCCGCCAGUCUUUUCUUUCGCUGUCAGACAAUGCACACAAUGAACCCA